UGGGGAAUAUUGGACAAUGGGCGAAAGCCUGAUCCAGCCAUGCCGCGUGUGUGAAGAAGGUCUUCGGAUUGUAAAGCACUUUACGUUGGGAGGAAGGGCAUUAACCUAAUACGUUAGUGUUUUGACGUUACCGACAGAAUAAGCACCGGCUAACUCUGUGCCAGCAGCCGCGGUAAUACAGAGGGUGCAAGCGUUAAUCGGAAUUACUGGGCGUAAAGCGCGCGUAGGUGGUUUGUUAAGUUGGAUGUGAAAUCCCCGGGCUCAACCUGGGAACUGCAUUCAAAACUGACUGACUAGAGUAUGGUAGAGGGUGGUGGAAUUUCCUGUGUAGCGGUGAAAUGCGUAGAUAUAGGAAGGAACACCAGUGGCGAAGGCGACCACCUGGACUAAUACUGACACUGAGGGGCGAAAGCGUGGGGAGCAAACA
rnacentral:rRNA from 1 species